GCGCUUUUAGUGUAGAGGUUAUCAUUCUUGCCUUCCAAGCAUGAGACUCGGGUUCGAUUCCCGGAGAGCGCA